AAUUGGAGGGCAAGUCUGGUGCCAGCAGCCGCGGUAAUUCCAGCUCCAAUAGCGUAUAUUAAAGUUGUUGCAGUUAAAAAGCUCGUAGUUGAAUUUCGGGAUUGACACAUCGGUCGUGCCUUAAGGGGUAUGAACUGGUGUAGUCAAUUUCUCACCUUCUGGAGAACCGCGAUGCCCUUAAUUGGGUGUCACGGGAAACCAGGACCUUUACUUUGAAAAAAUUAGAGUGUUUAAAGCAGGCAUUUUGCUUGAAUACAUUAGCAUGGAAUAAUAAAAUAGGACGGCAUGAUUCUAUUUUGUUGGUUUCUAGGAUCACCGUAAUGAUUAAUAGGGAUAGUUGGGGGCAUUAGUAUUCAAUUGUCAGAGGUGAAAUUCUUGGAUUUAUUGAAGACUAACUACUGCGAAAGCAUUUGCCAAGGAUGUUUUCAUUAAUCAAGAACGAAAGUUAGGGGAUCGAAGACGAUCAGAUACCGUCGUAGUCUUAACCAUAAACUAUGCCGACUAGGAAUCAGACGAUGUUAAUUUUUUAAUGACUCGUUUGGCACCUUACGGGAAACCAAAGUGU
rnacentral:rRNA from 1 species